rnacentral:rRNA from 1 species
CGCACGGGUGAGUAACACGUAGGUCAUCUACCCCUAUCACAGACAUAACCCCGGGAAACCGGGGCUAAUAUCUGAUGAGGUCGCGAGAUCAAAGCUUAGGCGGAUAGGGAUGAGCCUGCGGCUGAUUAGCUAGUUGGUGAGGUAAUGGCUCACCAAGGCGACGAUCAGUAGCUGGUCUGAGAGGACGAACAGCCACACUGGAACUGAGAAACGGUCCAG